AUAUUCUGUAAACCAAAGAUGUUUUACUUAUAGAUAGACAUAUUUAACAUAAAAGAUAUAAAUGUGCAUAUAUUGUAAAUAAGGCAUAUGGUCUAUGCAAACUUAUUUAUGUAUGCUCCAAAGUAUAUUUUAACUUUGCAAGAAACAGAUGUGAAUGUAAGUUAGUCAUGACAAGACUUUCCUGCUUGUAUGUAUUAAUGCCAUUAAGGGCAAAGUUUAUUUAUGUAAAAAGUAUGAAAUUAGUUUGCAACUUCAUCUGUGUACUCAAAUAUUUUAUAUACAUUCAAAACAAAUGAUAAAAAUUAGGUUCACUUGAUCAACUUUCUGAAAUUUUCAAAACAAAGAUCUAGGUAUAUGUCCAUUCAGCAAUUAUAAUGCAGGCCUUACUUUUCAUGGAAAGACAACAUCAUAUAUAAGGCAUAUACUUAUAAUACUUACAUCAAUAGAUGGAAGGCAUAUGUACUGAUCUCAGUAUUAUAAAGCAUUCUACUUAAUUAUGCAAGUUAAUUUGAGUGUUAAGUUAACAAAGCAAAGGACUUAAAGCAAUCCUUUGUAUGCACAAAUACUUAUUAAUUACUACGAAUUAUUAGCAUGUGAUUUGGGUUUAUAGGAAUGUUGUAUAUAUGUGAAGGUUGAAAUUAGUUUUGUGUAAUUAUUGUAGUGUUUUGGUUUCUGAUAGAUACUUAAUUUAGUGAAACAUGUUCCUUUUUUGGCUGCGUUUCUGGUGACAUGGUAGAUCCUCAUAUACAAUUGAUAUAUGCUGUGUUAUAAUACAAUGAAGAAAUAAGUUUGAAUAGACUGUUGAUAUAAUGUUUAAUUAUUUAAGGAUAAUGGAAUAUAAAAAAAACAUGUCAGAAAAAUCUGAAAGGACAUAAAUCAAAACAUGUUGCAAGAAUGUAUUGAGUUGAGGUGCAUGGUAAACUGAAGGACUAAAAAUAAUUAUUACCAAAAAUUAAUGAAUGACACGCAGCUAUGAUAAUGCAUAUAAAAGUAUAACAAAAAUACUGAACUCCAAUAGGGGAAGUCCAUAAAAAGUGACAAAAUCAAACGUUUUCAAUCAACAGAACUUGUAACAGACAAUUGUCAUAUUCUCGACUUGGUACAUGCAACUUCCAAAGAAAAUGGUGGGUUAAACUAGUUUUAAUAGCUAUCCAAACUCCUACUUGUAUGACGGUUGUUAUAACAAGUUUGAAGCAAAACAUAGAAUAAGUGAAUAUUAAAAUUUUGAAUAGUGAUAAACUUUAUCAAUCAUCAUGUUGAAAUUAUAAAAAAACUAUAAUCAGACUAAGAUUGAUACCUGAUCAUCGUAAUUAGCAUUAGGUAUACUCACCAUGUAUGUGCAGUCAAAAUAUUAAAUUGAAGAGGAUACAAGUUAUGGUAGUUGGAAAAGUGAUAUAUAUUUCAAUGAAUAAAAGUGAAAAGUGAUAUCAUAAAUUUUGAACUAUCCUAUAUAGGCCAAGAAAAUUAUUUAUUUUUCAAAGACAAAACUUCCUCUUCAAAAGACUGAUUUCACAUUUUUGCAAAGCCUGUGGAAGCAAAACAUUUAAUUUUAAAGCUGUAUAUGUUGUACUUGAUGAUUUAAGGUUACUGUAUUAUUUUCAUACAAUCAGAUUAUUGACAACUGAAGUGAAACAGACAUUAGUCAUGAGAUAAGAAAUUUACAUUUGUGUUUUGGUGCAUUAUGUGGUAAUUUGUGAAUUUUAAUGAUGGUAAUUUGUGAAUUUUUAUGAUGUAUGUUACAUUUUCCUGUUAUAUUUGUAUUUUUUGUUGAUGAUGUUUAGAUGGAAGUGCUGAUGAUCCUGUGUUAAUGAUCCUUGUUGAAAAAUAAAAUAUUAUACAUACCC
rnacentral:lncRNA from 1 species